rfam:Myotis davidii contig80945, whole genome shotgun sequence.
AUGCUUACUUCGACAGUACAUACACUAAAAUUGGAAUGAUACAGAGAAGAUUAGCAUGGCUCCUACAUAAGGAUGACAUGCAAAUUGGUGAAGUGCUACAUAGAAAA